rnacentral:rRNA from 1 species
UGGGGAAUAUUGGACAAUGGGCGAAAGCCUGAUCCAGCCAUGCCGCGUGUGUGAAGAAGGUCUUCGGAUUGUAAAGCACUUUAAGUUGGGAGGAAGGGCAGUAAGCGAAUACCUUGCUGUUUUGACGUUACCGACAGAAUAAGCACCGGCUAACUCUGUGCCAGCAGCCGCGGUAAUACAGAGGGUGCAAGCGUUAAUCGGAAUUACUGGGCGUAAAGCGCGCGGAGGUGGUUCGUUAAGUUGAAUGUGAAAGCCCCGGGCUCAACCUGGGAACUGCAUCCAAAACUGGCGAGCUAGAGUAGGGCAGAGGGUGGUGGAAUUUCCUGUGUAGCGGUGAAAUGCGUAGUUAUAGGAAGGAACACCAGUGGCGAAGGCGACCACCUGGGCUCAUACUGACACUGAGGUGCGAAAGCGUGGGGAGCAAACAGG